rnacentral:lncRNA from 1 species
GCCCGUACGGGGACUUGCUUCAUCGGCUUGUGAGCUCGAGUUCUGGUAAGUGCCCUUUUCUUCCUUAUGCCUUUCUCUUUUUCAAGGAUGGAUCUAGAUUCACUGCUCCAUCGGGAACUUUCUUGGAUGGUUGUAUGAAUCCACGUUUGCUGCCCAUGGCUACUCUAUGGGGCAAAUUGUGGCAUUCAGCUUGAAGAGAUUCAGUACCUUAAGCCUCAGGGUGAUGGAGAAUGAAUUAAUCCAUUCCUUCCUGACUCUAUCUCUAAUAGACAAAUUUUACGUGGGCGCGGGUCGGCCACUUAAGUCAUUAGGACGGCCGCCAAUCUCCAAGACUCCCGUGGAAGGUUUCUUUUCCUAAGGCUGGAUUGGGAUCCCUCCCUCUGGCACCUGACCACGCUCUGAACUGCGAGGAAAGUCCCACUCGGGACUCCAGUUCAAGGGAAGUACCAAACUCUAACCUUUGGUGGAGUAUGGGAACCCCUUCUUGGGAGAAUGGCUCCAGGAUGCAAUUGGGUAGAAUGUCCCCCAGACUGGCGGAAAAUUCCUCACUGUCUUUCUCUUUCUCACUGUCUUUGUCCUUUUCUCUCCUGGGGACCAUACGCCAGGCACCUAUUCCUGCCAGGCAGAAUAGGGAAGAUGUUCAAGGGAUGCCCCCAUCAUACCUUGCUACAGGAACCCCAAUGGGGGGAUUUUCAAGGUAAUGGCUCCCUUUCUCUGGGACCAUUCACCAGGCACCUAUUCCUGCCAGGCAGAAUAGGGAAGAUGUUCAAGGGAUGCCCCGAUCAUCCCUUGCUACAGGAACCCCAGUGGGGGGAUUUUCAAGGUAAUGGCUCCCUUUCUCUGGGACCAUACGCCAGGCACCUAUUCCUGCCAGGCAGAAUAGGGAAGAUGUUCAAGGGAUGCCCCCAUCAUCCCUUGCUACAGGAACCCCAAUGGGGGGAUUUUCAAGGUAAUGGCUCCUUUUCUUUCUCCUUUUCUCUCCUGGGGACCAUACGCCAGGCACCUAUUACUGUCAGGCAGAAUAGGGAAGAUGUUCAAGGGAUGCCCCCAUCAUCCCUUGCUACAGGAACCCCAUUGGGGGGAUUUUCAAGGUAAUGGCUCCUUUUCUUUCUCCUUUUCUCUCCUGGGGACCAUACGCCAGGCACCUAUUACUGUCAGGCAGAAUAGGGAAGAUGUUCAAGGGAUGCCCCCAUCAUCCCUUGCUACAGGAACUCCAU